UCGUCAAUUCACCUGAAAGCACAUCACAAGUUGGAGACAGGUUGUCUCUAGCCUCGUUCUUAGGAAGGGUCGAUUCCUGGUACGAAAGCAACAUCAACAGUUUGGGAGCCAUGAUUCCAAAGCUGGCAGGAACGCAGUCCAGGCACAGCAGGUCAUCAGAACCCAACCACUUCCUUGUGGACGUCCUCUCCUACUACCUU